GAGUAUCAAUUGGAGGGCAAGUCUGGUGCCAGCAGCCGCGGUAAUUCCAGCUCCAAUAGCGUAUAUUAAACUUGUUGCAGUUAAAAAGCUCGUAGUUGAAUUUCUGCUGUAUCGUUUUYCUYUGCUUGACAGWUGGAUUUCGUUAUGGSUUARKUGGGKUMCAGUUUYUGUUACCUGACGUUUACUUUGAGAAAAUUAGAGUGCUUCAAGCAGGCUUUUGCCUUGAAUACUUUAGCAUGGAAUAAUGGAGUAGGACUUUGGUUCUAUUUUGUUGGUUUUAGGAGCCAGAGUAAUGGUUAAUAGGAACAGUUGGGGGCAUUCGUAUUUGACUGUCAGAGGUGAAAUUCUU
rnacentral:rRNA from 1 species